GAGACUCUCGUCGGCCUGCGGGUGCCUGCUGCCGUCUGUUCUCUGGCAGAGGAGCUUCCAGAACCAGGGAAGACCCUGUGGGGAGGGUACGCGAGUGUUCCAGCCCUAGUGUUUGGGAGCAUGUGUGUGCAAGGUGUCAACGUACGUGUGCAAGUGAGCAUUUGUCUACACAGGUGAGUCCUUAAGCUUCGCAGUGUGGGUACUUGUCGAUGCACAGCCGGAUGCGUAAGGACACGGUAAAGCGUAUUUUGGAGUUUGUGCGUGGAGUAUGUCCUGGCAGUGGUGUACAGGUGAGCACGUCGGCCUGUUGCAUGUGUGUGCGUGUUCGGUUACUUGGAACGCUGUUGUGCACACGCCGGCGUAAGUGCAGGUGUACAUACCAGUCCGCGUGUCUUUGAACAAAGAUGUCGACGUGUACCAGUGUGUCUUAUUGGUGUGCGGGCUGUCUGGAUGUGUGCGUCUGCAGUUCUCCAGCCCCUGGUUCAGUCACCUAACCUCCCUUAGUGUCCCGGCCACCCAGGGGUCUGAACUCGGCCACUCACCGUGGCGGCGACUCCGGUUCCGGCUUCUUUCCGGACCCGACUCUCCUCGGACGGGUCGAGACACCUCUUCAGCUAUCAAGACUUCAGCCGGGAAAGCCCCUUUUCGGCCCCCGGGUGGGGGGAAUUCCCGUGACGUCUCCGUGCGUCACUCCCCAUUCCCUUUUUCAUUGGCUAAAAGUUUAACUCCGGGACUUGCGUAGCCAACCGGGAGCGACGCAACCGCGCCCCUUAGAGGAGAAAGGUUUGCACUGGGCCGGCAGCGGGAAUGAGGUUCCACCCAGCGGGAGCUCUGUCCGCUGGACCCGCCCGAGGGGAGGGGACCACUGGCAGAGUCCCGAGCCCCAAGCCCCACUCCUAGCCGAGAGCCCCGGCCCCGGUCUCUUCACCCGCCCAGGCUUGUCCUUCCGGGUGGGAGCCCUCGCUGCUGUUCGGCUUUUGCUGCGACUAGUGCUUGGCUACCUCUGAAGCUGGGGAACCCCAGGGGGCAGCCUGCAGGACCCAGCCGAGCCCCACUGCUCGGAAGUUAGGGGAAGAGGAAGGAAGUUGAUCUUGCGUUCAGUCCCAGAUCGCCAUCUGGCGGACUCUCUGAAGCCACAGGAAGACUCCGUACUGGCCCUUGGGGUCCCCUCGUCUCCUGCUUAGUCUAAAGGCAUCUGGAAGAGACCAUCUAUUACAACAGUGUAAGCGGUAGGUUCACAGCUCAUCAGGUUUUCAGGCUGACCUGAGUUCUACGGUGGGGAAGGAAAAGGUGUUGCCUAGGAGACGCAUUCAUCCACCAGGAACAUCUGGAACAUUAGAACUGAAAAGGCGUCCAAGUCUAAAUAAACUCUUGCCAGUGUAGAAAAUCGCCUCAUGACUGUGGGUGUAACUCACUGGUAGAGUGUGUGCUUUGCCUGUUGGAGUUCCUGCGAUUUAUCCCCGGAACUACAAGAAGACAGCAAGAAAAACCCCAAACAAAACACCUGAAAAUCGCCUCUUCCCAACUUCCAUUUGAGCUCUUCUAGUGGCAACAAGGUCAGGAUAGGAAUUCAGCAAGCAUUAACUCCGUGGCUGGACCUCUCUUGGUUGGUAGAGUUUCUCUUUAGGAGGUGCACAAGUGACCUCCAUUUCUGGAGUCCUCCUCGCUUAGACUUGUGGUGGAACACAGGCUAUUUCAGUCUCUCCUGCAACUUGCCCCAGGCCUUUUUUAGAACACAAUUACACGGCUGGAGGUCCAGUGGCAGAGCAUCUGCCUAGCAAGCAUUGAGUACUGAGUUCAUGAGUUUAAACCCUAAUACCACCAACCAAAAAAAAAAAA